UUUCCGUAGGUGAACCUGCGGAAGGAUCAUUACCAAAAGAUAAUCUUUCAUUCGAAAGAUCUUUUCCUUUGUGCUGGCUUUGACCGUAUGUAAUUUUGGGACUUAAACAUGAUACGCCUUUACGGUUUAUCGGUCCCAAAAACAAUAUAUCAUCCUUAUAAAAAACUUACUGAACUAAAACAAUUGAUUUAAUAAUCUGUUUAAAACAACUUUCAACAACGGAUCUCUUGGUUCUCGUAUCGAUGAAGAACGCAGC
rnacentral:misc_RNA from 1 species